rnacentral:rRNA from 1 species
UACGUAGGGGGCAAGCGUUGUCCGGAAUCAUUGGGCGUAAAGAGCGCGUAGGCGGUCCGGUAAGUCCGCUCUGAAAGUCCGGGGCUCAACCCCGGGAGGCGGGCGGAUACUGUCGGGCUAGAGUCCGGAAGAGGCGAGUGGAAUUCCUGGUGUAGCGGUGAAAUGCGCAGAUAUCAGGAGGAACACCGGUGGCGAAGGCGGGACUCUGGGCCGAUACUGACGCUGAGGAGCGAAAGCGUGGGGAGCAAACAGG